UAGAAGUUUGAAUCAUGGCUCAGGAUGAACGCUGGCGGCGUGCCUAAUACAUGCAAGUCGAGCGAACGGACGAGAAGCUUGCUUCUCUGAUGUUAGCGGCGGACGGGUGAGUAACACGUGGAUAACCUACCUAUAAGACUGGGAUAACUUCGGGAAACCGGAGCUAAUACCRGAUAAUAUUUUGAACCGCAUGGUUCAAAAGUGAAAGACGGUCUUGCUGUCACUUAUAGAUGGAUCCGCGCUGCAUUAGCUAGUUGGUAAGGUAACGGCUUACCAAGGCAACGAUGCAUAGCCGACCUGAGAGGGUGAUCGGCCACACUGGAACUGAGACACGGUCCAGACUCCUACGGGAGGCAGCAGUAGGGAAUCUUCCGCAAUGGGCGAAAGCCUGACGGAGCAACGCCGCGUGAGUGAUGAAGGUCUUCGGAUCGUAAAACUCUGUUAUUAGGGAAGAACAUAUGUGUAAGUAACUGUGCACAUCUUGACGGUACCUAAUCAGAAAGCCACGGCUAACUACGUGCCAGCAGCCGCGGUAAUACGUAGGUGGCAAGCGUUAUCCGGAAUUAUUGGGCGUAAAGCGCGCGUAGGCGGUUUUUUAAGUCUGAUGUGAAAGCCCACGGCUCAACCGUGGAGGGUCAUUGGAAACUGGAAAACUUGAGUGCAGAAGAGGAAAGUGGAAUUCCAUGUGUAGCGGUGAAAUGCGCAGAGAUAUGGAGGAACACCAGUGGCGAAGGCGACUUUCUGGUCUGUAACUGACGCUGAUGUGCGAAAGCGUGGGGAUCAAACAGGAUUAGAUACCCUGGUAGUCCACGCCGUAAACGAUGAGUGCUAAGUGUUAGGGGGUUUCCGCCCCUUAGUGCUGCAGCUAACGCAUUAAGCACUCCCGCCUGGGGAAG
rnacentral:rRNA from 1 species